CUCUGCUGGGAUGGAGGAUGCCUGGAGAAUUCGUAACUGUGGAUCUGUUUUUAGCUGCAGCAAGAUGAAAGGCAUAUUUUAUGAAAGUAAUACAUUGUAGUGUUACACGUGCAAGUCAGGAGAGAGACAGCAUGCAUAUGAGUGCAAUGCUUGCUUGUUUACAUGAAUUAUUUCAUGUGUAUAGGAUCAAAUGUUGGUUACUUAUGCAAAGCUUAAUAACAGGUCUCAAGACCAUGCUAUCUGGCUGUGAGCCAAACAGUGGGGGUGUAAUAUGCUUUGGUAUUUUGCUGUGGUUUUCUCUUUUGUUGACAUUUUUUUAAUGUAUACUCUUCUCCAAGGUGAGAUGCAGGAUGCAGAGGUAGAGCUGUGGUAGCUGGGAUGAUUUAAGGGUAGCAGGGAAACAAGAUUAAAAAUACUAAAAAAUACUCUGAGACUAAAAAUACUCUGUCAGAUCGAGUGCCAUGGCUGGAAAGUUACUGAGCUUUCUACCUCAAUAACCCUCUGUCUUGUCUUUUUCCCACCUGAGCCUUCCCAGGUGGUCCAAUACAGGACACCACUUCUCCCAGAAAAUCUUCUGCCCUGCCCACAGCUGGGCAGGACCGAGGUGUUCCUGCACUGCUUACGAAUCUGGUGACAGGGUGAAGUUAAGAAAUCAGCUUCUUGGAUGUGUGAUCCAGAUUGAGCCUUUAAAGAUGAUUUUUCCUCUUGAAGCUUGUAACCACCCCUGCCAUGCUAUCAUCUGAAGUGGAGUUGUGACUGCCCAUCUUUCUAAAAGCUACUUUCUAACUCAGCCACAAAACACAGGUUUGAUUUGAGAUUAGAUGGACCAAGUGAGAUUACACAGUCUACCUUGUGCCAGGAACCAAUUAUAUUAUCAAAGCAGUUCCUUGUGACUUUUAAAAGUUCGUCUUUGUGAAAAAUGGCCAGCUGUUUUUCAGUUAUGCAGGAUGGAAUAUGACUUUUUAUUAUUUCUCUGUUACAUCUCUUGCAGACACCUUACACUGGCAUAUCCCACUUGGUUGUGCUUGCAGUUUUCUUGAGAGGCAGUGGUUUGCUGACCUCUUGACAGUGUCUGAGGACUCUUACGGAUGAGAGGAAGGAGUGGAGAACAGCUCCUUGCCUGGUACAGAUGAGGAUGGCUGCAGCUGCAGUGCUGGCAGUUCCAUCUGGAUGAACAGUCUGCUCCCUUGUGCUGCGGGCACAAAGACCAUGUUUGCAGGGUUCAAGGAGCUCACAUGGGCAUCCGAGUCGGGCCUCAGCUAGGAAAACUGCAGUUUCAGGUAGCUGUGAAUGGGUCACAUGGGGCAACACCACCCCCUUUUAGGGGCAAUACUCAGCUUCAGGGAAAGCAGUUGCUGAAGUACGCUGAAUGCGUGCUACCAUAAUGCUCAUGCUUAAUGCCUUCUGCUGUUGCAAACUUCAGGCCUGCAGAAACCCCAUUGUUUAUUGAUGGGAGAGGCCCCACCCCAUCUGUAAUUAAAGGCAAACUCAUGUCAUAAAUUUGCUGGCAUCCCAAGUGAAGCUGGUGCUCCCUGAGAAUGAAGGUUAUCUCUUUCUUUUGCUGCUGGUCCUUUGAACUUCCUGUGGUCAGGGAAUCCUAGUGUUUUAAACUAGAAAAACAAUUAUGAAACCAUCCCUGCUCAUCUGGCCAGAGUUCAUGUCUAAUUAAAUUUAACAGGAGUCAUAAUUUUAAGAGUGAUUUCUCAAAAGCGUUAUAACUAAAGACAAUUAAGGCUUGAGAGAGAGAGCGCGAGACAGGGAGGGGAGAAAAACAGAGGCACUCCUUGGGGCAGGGCACUCCAUGAGUAUUAAACAGCCGUGACUCAUUCCUGCCUCUAGUCCCAGCAGAAGAAACACCUUUUGAAUAAGUUCUGUGUGCUAGAUAAAAACUUGUUUGCUGGUGCGAAAAUCAUACAGUGCAUGUUAGAACAAGAACCUUGAUGGGCUAUUCCCAUUAAAAACAAUUACACAGAAAUGGACUUUUUAUUUCCAACUGUUGGUAUAAAUUGGGUGCAGUUUUUUUUUUUUUUUUUUUUUUUUUUUUUAGCUGUGGAAUCCUGUCAAGAUCUGCAAAAAGAGGGGAGAAAAGGGAAGGAAACACAGACCAAAGAAUGAAUGAAUGAACUCAGUUGUCCUUGUGGAGCAGGAUGUUUUUAUUUUUAUUAUGUAUGAAAUGUAUAGUAGUAUAUAUGGAACAAAUCCAUCAGCCCAUUUGACAGGCAAAACCUGAACUUCACAAGGACAUGUGAAGCUAGAAAGGAGACUGCAGCAAUGUAGAACACCACCAUGGGGGGACCUCUAGCUCUUACUUCUUGUGUAUUUAUUCUUAGGCAGCUCUGCAUGCAAUACUAAAGCCUGACAGGCAUUCUCUGAAGCCAGGGAAUCCCACAGACUUCUCAGAAGCGAUGCUAGAGAGGACAGUGUCUCUUCAAGUGAAGGACCCAGCCUUCCAUGAACAUUCAGAAAAUCAGGUUUUAUGACUGAGGGUUGUAGGGAAACCUCCUGCUGCUGCUACGGGGUGAUUCCCAUCUUCACUGGUGACGUGAGGAUUGUAGAGGAAACAGUAUUUUCACCACAAAAUUGGCUCAGAGCAAGGUAGGUUGGAACAGUGGUUAAAACGGAGCCAGCCAGCCGACACAGGUGCACCGUCAUUACGGCGUUGGUGGAGAUGGGCUGAUGCUAAAGCAGUGCUGGAAUGCUUCGAUGGGAGGCCUUGAGGCCUGCUCUGCACCUACGCAGGGCAAUGCAGGCCUGUUGUGCUCCUCGUAAACUCACUCCAGCAGCUGUGUCCACACUGGUGACACGAGAUCCUUACAGAUGGUGGGGAGGCGGCGGCAGGAUGGGUUGCUGACGUUAUGCAUCCCUUCAGUGAUUAUCAUCUGCCAGGCGGAGCAUGCCCACACUGCAGCUGAGGUGCACCUGCAACAUGGGUGGACUUGGCUGGGCUGCUUUCAACGGAGCUUGCUCGGGUAGUAAUAGCAGCAUGAUGACAGCAGCACAACAUCAGCACGGAGCUGCCCGAGCCUGCCCACAGCCUUGGACGCUUAUUUUGGUCACCGACCACGCUAAGUCCUUACUGCUGGAGUUUUGCUGCUCCUGGUAUCUGUUUGGAGCUAACACACAACUUCUGAACGAGCUCACAGCUGGGUAGUCAACCCCAGACAGAGGACUGCUCUCUAGUAAUGGUCCAGUGCAACUACUUUCUGGUAGUCAUCUAGCCAGAAAAGAAACAUAUAUUCUCCCUUUAAAAUAGGACCAGUUGUGGUAUAUCUGCAGGUUUCUUUGAUCACCUCCUUGCAAUGAUGUUUUCUCCCAUUCCUGAAAAAAUCAAAGGUUUCAGCCAUUCAGUGCUGUAGCUCCUCUGGUUGCUCAGCAGCUUCCCCUGGAGCAGCUUUCUAGCUGCCCUGUAAAAAAA